AUUGAACGCUGGCGGCAGGCCUAACACAUGCAAGUCGAACGGUAACAGGAAGAAGCUUGCUUCUUUGCUGACGAGUGGCGGACGGGUGAGUAAUGUCUGGGAAACUGCCUGAUGGAGGGGGAUAACUACUGGAAACGGUAGCUAAUACCGCAUAAUGUCGCAAGACCAAAGAGGGGGACCUUCGGGCCUCUUUCCAUCGGAUGUGCCCAGAUGGGAUUAGCUAGUAGGUGGGGUAACGGCUCACCUAGUCGACGAUCCCUAGCUGGUCUGAGAGGAUGACCAGCCACACUGGAACUGAGACACGGUCCAGACUCCUACGGGAGGCAGCAGUGGGGAAUAUUGCACAAUGGGCGCAAGCCUGAUGCAGCUAUGCCGCGUGUAUGAAGAAGGCCUUCGGGUUGUAAAGUACUUUCAGCGGGGAGGAAGGGAGUAAAGUUAAUACCUUUGCUCAUUGACGUUACCCGCAGAAGAAGCACCGGCUAACUACGUG
rnacentral:rRNA from 1 species